UACGUAGGGGGGCAAGCGUUGUCCGGAAUCAUUGGGCGUAAAGAGCGUGUAGGCGGUCCGAUAAGUCGGUUGUGAAAGUCAAGGGCUCAACCCUUGAAUGCCGACCGAUACUGUCGGGCUAGAGUCCGGAAGAGGUGAGUGGAAUUCCUGGUGUAGCGGUGAAAUGCGCAGAUAUCAGGAAGAACACCGGUGGCGAAGGCGGCUCUCUGGGCCUUACCUGACGCUGAGGAGCGAAAGCUAGGGGAGCAAACGGG
rnacentral:rRNA from 1 species